rnacentral:rRNA from 1 species
UAACAAGGUCUCCGUAGGUGAACCUGCGGAGGGAUCAUUACAGAGACUCUGCCCUUUGGGUAGACCUCCCACCCUGUGUCGUUAUACCUUUGUUGCUUUGGCGGGCCGCGGGGCUCCGGCCCUGCCCCUGGCUCCGGCUAGGGCGCGCCCGCCAGAGGACUCGAAAACCUGAAUGUUAGUGUCGUCUGAGUACUAUAUAAUAGUUAAAACUUUCAACAACGGAUCUCUUGGUUCUGGCAUCGAUGAAGAACGCAGCGAAAUGCGAUAAGUAAUGUGAAUUGCAGAAUUCAGUGAAUCAUCGAAUCUUUGAACGCACAUUGCGCCCCUUGGUAUUCCGGUGGGCAUGCCUGUUCGAGCGUCAUUACAACCCUCAAGCUCAGCUUGGUCUUGGGCGUCACCGGUCCCCGGUGUGCCUUAAAAUCAGUGGCGGCGCCGUCUGGCUCUAAGCGUAGUACAUACUCUCGCUACAGACCGCCCGGCGGAUGCUGGCCAGCAACCCCCAAUCUAUCAAGGUUGACCUCGGAUCAGGUAGGGAUACCCGCUGAACUUAAGCAUAUCAAUAAGCCGGAG